rnacentral:lncRNA from 1 species
UGAAAUUUUUGCUUAAAAAUGAGUGUAAGAUUUCAUACCUAUAUAUUGCUGGUAAAAUCCCCUUUCAAAAGUCUCCUAAUUUGGAGUUGAAAUGAAGAAGUUAUGAAAUUUUGGCUAAAUCUCGUUUUGGUUCUGCUUUAAAAUCAUUGGACAGGUCUUUAUCGCAUUCGCGAUGAAGCCAACUUAAGUGGCCUUCGCAUUUGCGUUCCAUGGCUCGCGUUCACAAAGCUUUGGCUCCUCAAGCCUAUGCGUUCACGGGACAGUGGAUGCAUUCGCGAUGCACAAAAUGGUGAAACCCUACCCAGGUCUUUAACCUUACGCGUUCGCAAGUGCAUGGACGCGUUCGCGAAGGGUACCCUCUCUUUAGCCUCGCAUUCACGUCUCAAGCUUUGCGUUCGCGAAGAAUAAAUCUGGCACCUGGGAGAUUCGCUUUACGCAUUUGCGAGAGAGACCACGCGAACGCGAAGAGUAAAAUCUCUGGGUACUGAACAACAAAAACCUACAACUUUUUGAGCUCCAAAAACCUUCCGAAAUACACCCGAACCCACGGGGAUCAAAGUCAAAUAUACGUACUAACUCAAUAAUAUCAUACGAACCUAUCUGUACGAUUAAAUCACCAAAAUAACCUCAAAAUGAAUGAAAUAUUUUAAAACUUCUUAAAGCAUCAAACUUUGCAUUUGCGGUCCAAAUGACGUCAAACGGAUUCCAUUUCUUACCAAACUUUACAGAGUUAUCUUAAAUCACAUAUAAGAUCUGUACCGGGCACCAAAUCUAAAUACGGGCCAAAUACUGAUAUGUUCUAAUAAAAAUUUAUUUCAAAUUCCUUUAAAUAAUUUAGAAAAUAAUUUUCUUUAAAAUUUAUUUCUUGGGCUAGG